rnacentral:rRNA from 1 species
UACGAAGGGGGCUAGCGUUGCUCGGAAUCACUGGGCGUAAAGCGCACGUAGGCGGUUGGGUGAGUCAGGGGUGAAAUCCCGGAGCUCAACUUCGGAACUGCCUUUGAUACAGCAAGUCUUGAGUCCGGAAGAGGUGGGUGGAAUUCCUAGUGUAGAGGUGAAAUUCGUAGAUAUUAGGAAGAACACCGGUGGCGAAGGCGGCCCACUGGUCAGGUACUGACGCUGAGGUGCGAAAGCGUGGGGAGCAAACAGG